UGGUUCUGGCAUCGAUGAAGAACGCAGCGAAAUGCGAUAAGUAAUGUGAAUUGCAGAAUUCAGUGAAUCAUCGAAUCUUUGAACGCACAUUGCGCCCUCUGGUAUUCCGGGGGGCAUGCCUGUUCGAGCGUCAUUACAACCCUCAAGCUCUGCUUGGUCUUGGGUGCCACCACACAGGUGCACCUUAAACGCAGUGGCGGUGCCGUCUGGCUUCAAGCGUAGUAACUCAUCUCGCUACGGAGUCCAGGUGUGCUCUUGCCAACAACCCAACUUUCUAAGGUUGACCUCGGAUCAGGUAGGGAUACCCGCUGA
rnacentral:misc_RNA from 1 species